rnacentral:pre_miRNA from 14 species
UUAUAGCUAUGAAGUGAAAGAUCCCCGAAGGGAGACCCUCACUCAAGUCUCGGGAAGUCGAGGACCCCAGACACAGGAGAGACC